CGCCUCCCCGCCCAGCAGAGCAGCUACCGCAACCACAAAAUCAACCUUUUCUACGGCUACAGACACUGCCAGCCAUAACAUAGCACUGGAAAUAAUCCAUAUUAGACCGAUUUUUUUAAUGUUUAUAGGCCUAUAAUGAGCCAGUAGACCUGUGAGGUAACUGAUUUACGAUUUAACGAAAGCAUUCCGUUCCAGGGAUCAAAAUGCCUCUCAUGUUGCCGUCGCAGGGGACGUCAGCUGCAUCCUGUGUAGCACUGCUGGUAAUUGCGGCUUCCACUGUCUACUCCAUGGAUGUACUUGUGGCCCAGCAAAUCAAUGCUCUGAAUGGCACAAUGGUCAGGAUUUCCUGCAGUUUCACUUCCUGCUACAGACUAGAUCCCACCAAGUUUGCUAUGAACUGGACAUAUCAGGAGACUGUAAAUGGCACAGAGGAGAUGUUUAUGACCUUUAAGAACAAAAUAACUCCUUUGAGGACAGAUCACUUUGGGGACCGGGUAAAGUUUGCUGGGAAUCUGGACAAAAAUGACCUCUCCAUCACCAUCUCAGAUGUGCAGCUAACAGAUGAGGGAAUCUACAACUGCUAUGUGCGUAAUCCUCCUGAUCGCAUCCAGGGCCAUGGUAUCAUCCAGCUGUCUGUUGUCACUGAGUUGCCUCCUCCACGGGACUCAACCAUUGCAGUGGCGAUUGGAGCAUCUAUAGGAGGUAUGCUGGCUCUGGUUAUUCUGUCCAUGGUGGUGGUGAAGUGUGUGCGCAGGCACAAGAAACAAGAGCUCAUAUCCGAUGAACAGAAGAUGGAAGAGGAGGGCAAAACAGAUGGAGAAGGGGGUACAGAAGAGGGCACCAAACAACUCUAACCUGGCUGCUCGACCUGGAAGGCCGAAAGUUUGUUGGAGCCCUGCCCCUCACAUGCUGAAAUGUAUGCGCCCUGCCUGAAGAUGUAUAUUGAAAUCUGCUUGACCCAUCGUCCUGUGACUGCAUCGAUGCCCAUCCUACGGCACUGUCCUUUCUUGCCUCUGCCAUCAAACAUGUCCCAUUUUGAAAACACUCAGCCACUGCCAUACCUGGGUAUGAGUGCAUUGAGAAGAAACUACAGUGCAGGUCUCCAAACUACAGAUUCUUCCAUUUGACACUAAGGUUUACAGUAGUAAGAAAGCCAAUGAUCUAAACUACACUUUUUCUGGGACCAUCUUUUCUGAAACUUUUAGGGUUGUGUCCUCAAACCACUGCCAACACAUUUGUUGUGUGAUAUUUUAAGAGAUUAUCUUGGGGAGAGGUGUGUUGUUAUUGUCUUUUCGAUCAAUUAUUAUUGAUAAGGACAAAGCACACUAUUCCUAAUACUGCCAAAUAUAUUACUAGUUUGAUGAUAUUUCUAAGAUGUUUUCUGGAUAUCGAAACAGUCUUUUAUUUGUUCUUCUGGUCUGGUGCAAAAAAAGCUCUCAGACUCUGUCUCUCUCUUUCUCUGUGUGUGCAUUUGCAAAAGUGAGUGUGUGUGUGUGUGUGUGUGUGUGUGUGUGUGUGUGUGUGUGUGUGUAAUAUUUGUGUGAAAUAUAAAGGAAUAGUUCAGUUAAAAAGGUAAUGUAACUCACAAUGAAUGAAUGCAAAUAGCCACCACGUAUUGUUAUGCAAAUGAAAUAGUGCUAAUUGAAGCCCACCGGCUUCUAUUCACUUUCACUGUUAUCUAUGUUAGUAGUUUUGGUCAAUCUACUCCUUUAAAGAAAUAUUGCCAUAUGCAAAAGUUAGAACACUCCCAUUCAAAUGACAUGUUUAGUUAGAAUGUUUUCUAAAUGAAAAUAUGUUAACACACAAUUUAGAAACCUAAAUAUGUCAUUAGUCUGCACAUUGUAGUGCACAAUUUCUAUUUAUUUGCUGACUUUAACAUAUGGGGAAAAAUAUCAUGUAAAGUGUGCCACAACUAGUACAGGCCAGAUUUUGUUUUGUUUUUUCCACAAUAUGUUAAAUUCACCAAAAACCAGUCAUCAUGCUGUGUGUUCUCAGUAGAGGAUGUGUUAAAUUCGUUUCAUUUAGAAAAGCAACAAAAUGUACCCAGGGUACCCAAACUUUUGCAUACAACUCUAAUUGUGAGGACCAAAUGUUCUCACCAGUGCAGUAAAGCUCCAAAAAAGUUUUUGUUGUCUAAAUGUUUUCUGCUCUGUCUUUUGUAUACAGCGAGCAGAACAGAUAUGAUUAUAGUAGUAGCACAUUUAACUGGAACUUCUAACCAGUGUGUCGCCUUAGUUUCCAUUGCUUGCUGUGCACCCUCUCAUGCAACCUGACUGAAAAUAAUUACACUACUUUUCAAAAGUUUGGAAUCGCUGUUGAAAAGUUUGGGAUUCAUGUUUUCAGAACACAAGUGUGCAGAAAGAUUAUAACAUAUGUGCCCUGUGCAACUUUCAAGUAAUUAGAAGGCAACAAGCAGACUGUAAAUAAAAAUGAAUACAAUGUGUCCAGCAUGAUGAACAGAGCCGUAAAAGAUUGUAAAAUGAUAUCCAGAAUACAUCAUAUUUGAAAAGCGGAGACAGAAUCUCAAAGCAAAUAACUUGACAAGAAAAUACUGUACAUAGAUAAUUACAGUAUAUUAGUAUAUACAUCUCUGUCCACAGAAUUCCUGAAUUAUGGAAUACAACAUCAUAUAAAAGCUGUUAUGGCACAUGAUACCAAACUUUUGAAGAGUAAAUCUUACAUUAGCAUGCUUUAAUAUAACCUGCACAUGUGACAUUCACACAGUCUUGUAUUCACAAGCAUUUUAGUGUCACUUCACUAACUUCAAAUCUCGGAAUACAAUCAGAAAUUUAAAACUAAAACAGUACUAAAUAAAAACUCCAAAUCUUUUGGCUCAAAAACAUGCAUACCUGCAUAUACACACACACACUACACACAGAGAGAGCACAAUAUGGUGACAAUUCAGGGAAAAUUACUGAGUUAAAAUGUGUUUCUAUCAGUUUCUAAUAGUUAUAGAUUAAAAUCAGACAUAGGACUGAGGAGUUACUUUAUUGCUUAGAAAGAGGCUUACACAAUGAAAGUUUGAAUGUAUUGUGUGAAAGGUUGAAAGUAUUAUACAUUCCUUUUGCAUUAGUGCUAUUAUUUUGUAAAAAUCUGUAGCAGUAAUGUGAAAUUAUUUCUAAUUACAACAUUAAAUAUGCACAUUGAACCGCAUUAGUAAUCAAAUUAAUCAAAUAAUCUAUUAAAUAUUCAGGUCUUAAGUUAGUGAUAGACUAUUUCAAAAUAGUACGAAACUGUUGUUAAAGUUACAGUAAAGUACACAAAGCAACACAAUGCUUGAAAACAAUGCUUAGUAUUUACUUGGACAUACAGUAGCUAGAUUUAAAGGGUAAAAUGUAAAUGUGUUAAAAAUGGCAAAUGUUGAUGAUAGAAAGCAGUUCUAAAAAAUUACACACAAAAAAACUUCACAUUAUGUAAGCACUGAAUAUGAAUACCACUGCUAACUACUUUUUGUUACAAAUGUAAUGGACACUAGGUAAUUAUAGUAAUAAUUUAUUUAUUUGUCCAUUCAUCUAUCUACCCAUCCAUCCUUUUUAUUUUAUUUUUUGACUUGAGAAAAAUGACCUGAGAGUGUAACAGUAUCUAUAUAUCAUCGUAUCUAUAGUUUUAUGUAUUAUGCAUUGCAAACCCAUUGGUUUCCAUUGUGUGGGAUGUAACUGUAUUAAAGGUAUUUUUCAAAGUUUCUUCCUCUCUUUAUAAACUACUGCAUUCUCAACAAUUCCAAUGUAUAAUCAUAAAACUAUCUACCUAAAUGGCUACCACUAUAGCUUACAGCAAGAGAAAUGUUGCUGCUUACGAUCUUACAUUGGCUGUGGUCACCACUGUGAUGGAUGUAGACCCUUUUCACUCGUGCCAUUGCUAAAGUGACAGAAAUCUAUAGCUCAGUCUUACAGCGUACUCCCACAUUGCCACAGGAAACUUACUGUCAUAAAGACAUAAUGGCUUAUAAAUACACUUUCCAACUGUAGCACACAAUAUCAUCUUUUAAGUGUGAUAAAACUGAAUGAUAUUUACCUCCCAACAUCACUAGAAACAAUACAGUUCUUUAAGAAACGUUUUAUUGUUCAUUGUGAGGUAGGGAUAUAGAAGAUAUUCAGGUGGCCCCAUAUUAACAAAUCAUUGCUGACAGAACAAAACCUUGCAUCUCCAUAUUUGCCAUUUUUUCCCCACAAAAUUAAAAAACACCAAAUGCUUUUUUCAUUGUGUGUAAACUUCAUGGCAAGUAGACCAACAGAAGUGGUCAAAAUUACCUGUAAAUUCCUGUUACAAGAAAGUUUUUGUCCUCUUCUGUAAAGUUUUCAUUUCAGAGAUAUGAGGUUUUGUUCAGACAGUGAUAGUAUACUCCAUAAUUAAAAAAAAAAAGGCACUGGAAUGUCUUGUAUUAAUUGCAUAUCUGUUGUACAUUUCCCCUAUUGUACCUAUACAUAUGGAUGGUAUAUAAAACUGGUGUAACAGCAAAGGUCACUUUAGAAGUGACAUAAUACCAAAAAUACCAAAGAAUGAUGUGUCCAUUAAAUUUUUAUCAUAUUUAGCCAGACUUCUUGAGUCUAGCUAUCAAAACUAAUUUCACAUUCCAGAUUCAGGCAUGUCUACUGAACAAGUCAAUUAUAAAAUACAUAAAAUAAUGGCUACUGACAAAUGGCUAGGGUAUUGUAGAUACAGAACAAAGUGGGUACUAUGGGAAAAUGACUUGAUACUCGUCCCCAAACAUAUUUGAUUCAGAAUUUUAUAUGAAGUGAUAUGAGGAAAAAAGUCUUUGUUUUGGACAAACAGUAUUAUUCAAAUGGCCUUACAUUCAUGUCAUGAUUGUAUGUGAGUGUUCUUAUUGCCUUUACAAUUCAUGAUGAGAAAUGCAGCAAGUGAGCUUCUGGUAGUAUAACAGCGGGUCAAAAGAAUCGGAGACUACACAUACCCUUUUUGUUGAUCUAUUUCUUUAUUUUUAACAUGCCACCAAAUCGUGUAGAGAUUUAGUUCAACAUGCAGUGUCCAAAAUGGUUGGCAUAAGUGUAACUCUUGGAUGCAUACGUGGCACAUAAGCUCAAUACAAGUGAUAAGAUGUCAUUUGUGGUGUGUGUUUAUUCCUAGUGUAGUUCACAGUAUGAGCAGUUGUAUGCUGAGCUUUGAUAUACUCCCUUAAAUGAGAACGGAAAAAUCACAUUGCAGCAUGAUGGCUUUACAGUAAUAUACCCGAUGUUUGAAUGGCUGCACUUCUGAGAGAACGCUAUGGCUCUGUGUCCUUACAUCCAUAUUCUCAUCCUUCACGAGAAAAACACGAUUACUUUAAAAUGUAGGUAGUACUCAUGUGAUACAUAGCUGUGUUAUGAGAAUAUCUUAAAAUUACUUUAAAGACUGCAUGAUAAUGGUUUUAUAUUGCACAUCUUUGUAUUGUUCACUUCUUACUUUUUUCAGCGGUAAUAUGAAUGUGUAAUUAUACAUGCUGUAUGAAUAUGGUAUAAGAUAAGAUUAUCUGUUUAAAUGUGUAUUGCCUAGCUCUGAAUGAGAGGUUCUGUCAGAUGGACAACAGAUUUGAAAUAAGUAUACUCAGGCAUGAGAUAUUUGAUUAAUGUUGGUAACCCAUUGUAAAGAGAUGUUUUGCACUGGUGGAAUAUAAAUAUAGACAAUACUGAAAUGAAGUAUAAUUUAAAAAGUAAUUAUUGUGCUGUCUUGAUUUGUCUGAUACAAAUGCAUGCUCUUCUAAAUUUGAUAUAUUAUGUUACCCUUAAAUAAUACCCCUCACAAACAACAGCUUUUCUUCAUACAACAACAACAACAAUAAUAAUAACCCGGGACCAGGGCUGGGCAAACUUUACUGCCAUGUCUGAAGCCACAGUUAGAACAUUUAUUAAGAUCUUAAUUAAAAACUUCUACAUAGUAAAGUCACAUUUCUGUGUUUGCUAGUAUAGCACAAUUAUCAAGUAUGUCCUUAAAAAGGAAAGGAUAUUGGGGCUGAUGUAAUGAAUAAUAAUGCCGAUCUGGGCCAGGUGCUGUAUCUGGGGCAGGUGUUGUUAAAUAGGCCGUACACUGAGGAGCUGGCAGAGGGGUCAAAGGGGCAAAGCUACUGCAGUGCUAGAGAAAGCAGAAGCAAAUGCGACUCAUCCAUACAAACAACAUUAUCUGCCUGCAAAUUUAUGAAGCAGCCUCUGAGGACAAAGUAAUAAGUCGCUUGUACUUUGAUAAGGAAAACAUCUUCAAGAAUGAGAAUAGGACUGCUGAUCAAACAACUUAGCUUGUGGACAUGACUUGCAUCAAGCAGAUCACUUGAAUGUAUUGUAGGUGUUACUGCAUAAUUGCGUAAGGGGGUUUCAAGUAAAAUCUAGGAUUACAAGUUUGCAUUUAGGUCUGUAUUAGUUCCUUGUACGCAAAUCGGCCAAUUGAUUUUUGUUUUUGGAUGAAUUUAUAUAUUUGUAGUAUACAUAUAAAUAACGGGAGCCAGCCAAGUAUGAAUGUGCAUGGUACUCACCAGUCUAAAGAGCAAAUACAGUCCUCUCCCUGAUAAACGGCCGUGCCAAAACUCAUUUUUUUUAGCCAUGUUAUAAUAAAAACAUUUUAAUGAAAAGUGCCAUGGAUUUUCACUUUUUGUGAAGUUUCAUCUUCAAUAUUAAAUGUUUACCUCCCUU